rnacentral:rRNA from 1 species
CACGCUGUAAACGAUGUCGAUUUGGAGUUUGUGCCAUUAUGAGCGUGGGUUCCGAAGCUAACGCGAUAAAUCGACCGCCUGGGGAGUACGGCCGCAAGGUUAAAACUCAAAUGAAUUGACGGGGGCCCGCACAAGCGGUGGAGCAUGUGGUUUAAUUCGAUGCAACGCGAAGAACCUUACCUGGCCUUGACAUGCUGAGAAGUUUGUAGAGAUACGAAUGUGCCUUCGGGAACUCAGACACAGGUGC